rnacentral:rRNA from 1 species
UACGGAGGGGGCUAGCGUUGUUCGGAAUUACUGGGCGUAAAGCGCACGUAGGCGGCUUUGUAAGUUAGAGGUGAAAGCCCAGGGCUUAACCCUGGAAUUGCCUUUAAGACUGCAUCGCUUGAACAUCGGAGAGGUAAGUGGAAUUCCGAGUGUAGAGGUGAAAUUCGUAGAUAUUCGGAAGAACACCAGUGGCGAAGGCGGCUCACUGGUCCAUUACUGACGCUGAGGUGCGAAAGCGUGGGGAGCAAACAGG